UGGGGAAUAUUGCACAAUGGGGGAAACCCUGAUGCAGCGACGCCGCGUGAGCGAAGAAGUAUUUCGGUAUGUAAAGCUCUAUCAGCAGGGAAGAAACUGACGGUACCUGACUAAGAAGCACCGGCUAAAUACGUGCCAGCAGCCGCGGUAAUACGUAUGGUGCAAGCGUUAUCCGGAUUUACUGGGUGUAAAGGGAGCGUAGACGGAUAGGCAAGUCUGGAGUGAAAGCCCGGGGCUCAACCCCGGGACUGCUUUGGAAACUGUUUAUCUGGAGUGCUGGAGAGGUAAGUGGAAUUCCUAGUGUAGCGGUGAAAUGCGUAGAUAUUAGGAGGAACACCAGUGGCGAAGGCGGCUUACUGGACAGUAACUGACGUUGAGGCUCGAAAGCGUGGGGAGCAAACA
rnacentral:rRNA from 1 species